rfam:Myotis davidii contig62532, whole genome shotgun sequence.
AGUCCUGGAGAGAGAGGCAGGGUCUGAUCCUCAGCCUCCAUGGCAGGUGUUGAUCAGCCAUUGCCUCUCUCUUUCCACACU